rfam:Rubellimicrobium thermophilum DSM 16684 genomic scaffold R1_scaffold6, whole genome shotgun sequence.
GAUCAAGCGCGAGAAGGGCGUUUGGUGGAUGCCUUGGCAGCAAGAGGCGAUGAAGGACGUGAUACCCUGCGAUAAGCCAUGGGGAGCCGGGAAUGGGCUUUGAUCCAUGGAUUUCCGAAUGGGGAAACCCACCUGACAGUUGAUUAUGGUUGCUCUUCGGGGCGAUCCAUAAUCGGCUGAGACAGGGACUUGGAACCUGAACACAUAGGGUUUCAAGGGCGAACCCGGGGAACUGAAACAUCUCAGUACCCGGAGGAAAGGACAUCAACAGAGACUCCGUCAGUAGUGGCGAGCGAACGCGGACCAGCCGAGCCGUGAGAACGACCAGAAUGGCCUGGAAAGGCCAGCCGGAGCGGGUGACAGCCCCGUAUGGGAAGUUCGAUCGGACGCAUCAAGUAGGGCGGGACACGUGGAAUCCUGUCCGAAGAUCGGGGGACCACCCUCGAAGGCUAAGUACUCCUUGCUGACCGAUAGCGAACCAGUACCGUGAGGGAAAGGUGAAAAGCACCCCGACGAGGGGAGUGAAACAGUACCUGAAACCGGACGCCUACAAUCAGUCGGAGCCUCCAUGAGAGGUGACGGCGUACCUUUUGUAUAAUGGGUCACCGACUUGGUCUCACGAGCGAGCUUAAGCCGAUAGGCGGAGGCGGAGCGAAAGCGAGUCUGAACAGGGCGUUCAGUUCGUGGGAUCAGACCCGAAACCGAGUGAUCUAGCCAUGGCCAGGCUGAAGGCUGGGUAGCACCAGCUGGAGGGCCGAACCCACACCUGUUGAAAAAGGUCGGGAUGAGCUGUGGCUAGGGGUGAAAGGCCAAUCAAACUCGGAAAUAGCUGGUUCUCCGCGAAAUCUAUUUAGGUAGAGCGUCGGGUGAAUGCCUUCGGGGGUAGAGCACUGGAUGGGUGAUGGGGGCCCACAGCCUUACUGAGCCUAACCAAACUCCGAAUACCGAAGAGCACUGCCCGGCAGACAGACGGCGGGUGCUAACGUCCGUCGUCGAGAGGGAAACAACCCUGACCUCCAGCUAAGGCCCCCAAUUCACGGCUAAGUGGGAAAGCAGGUGGGACGACCAAAACAACCAGGAGGUUGGCUUAGAAGCAGCCAUCCUUUAAAGAUAGCGUAACAGCUCACUGGUCUAGACAAGUUGUCCUGCGGCGAAGAUGUAACGGGGCUCAAGCCGUGAGCCGAAGCUGAGGAUGCACCAUUGGGUGCAUGGUAGCGGAGCGUGGCGUGACAUGGGUCCGCGUCUGUGAUGCCGUCGAGGCGGAUAUGCGGGAUGGGGCAGCCCAUCGCGCCGACAUCGCCACAGGCGGCAGCGCAGACGGAGGACUCUUCGAUGAAGCCGGGGCGUGAGCCAUCCGGUGGAGAGAUCGCCAGCGAGAAUGGUGACAUGAGUAGCGACAAAGGGGGUGAGAGACCCCCUCGCCGAAAGUCCAAGGGUUCCUGCUUAAAGCUAAUCUGAGCAGGGUGAGCCGGCCCCUAAGGCGAGGCCGAGAGGCGUAGUCGAUGGGAACCAGGUGAAUAGUCCUGGGCCAGUGGGAUGUGACGGAUCGCAGAUGUUGUCCGGUCUUAUCGGAUUGACCGGGCAGCUGAGCGGUCCCUGGAAAUAGCCCCACAUCAGACCGUACCCGAAACCGACACAGGUGGACUGGUAGAGCAUACCAAGGCGCUUGAGAGAACGACGUCGAAGGAACUCGGCAAAAUGCCUCCGUAAGUUCGCGAGAAGGAGGCCCCGUUCCCGGGCAACCGGGGGCGGGGGGCACAAAAGAGGGGGUGGCGACUGUUUACUAAAAACACAGGGCUGUGCGAAGCCGCAAGGCGCCGUAUACAGUCUGACGCCUGCCCGGUGCCGGAAGGUUAAAGGGAGGGGUGCAAGCCCCGAACUGAAGCCCCGGUAAACGGCGGCCGUAACUAUAACGGUCCUAAGGUAGCGAAAUUCCUUGUCGGGUAAGUUCCGACCUGCACGAAUGGCGUAACGACUUCCCCGCUGUCUCCGACGUCGACUCAGCGAAAUUGAACUGCCCGUGAAGAUGCGGGCUCCCCGCGGUUAGACGGAAAGACCCCAUGAACCUUUACUCUAGCUUCGCACUGGCACCAGGAUUGCGAUGUGCAGGAUAGGUGGUAGGCCUUGAAGCGGAGGCGCCAGCCUCCGUGGAGCCGCCCUUGAGAUACCACCCUUCGUGCUCUUGGUGUCUAACCGCGGCCCGUCAUCCGGGUCCGGGACCCUGCGUGGUGGGGAGUUUGACUGGGGCGGUCGCCUCCCAAACAGUAACGGAGGCGCGCGAUGGUGGGCUCAGGGCGGUCGGAAAUCGCCCGUUGAGUGCAAUGGCAGAAGCCCGCCUGACUGCGAGACCGACAGGUCGAGCAGAGUCGAAAGACGGCCAUAGUGAUCCGGUGGUCCCGCGUGGAAGGGCCAUCGCUCAACGAAUAAAAGGUACUCUGGGGAUAACAGGCUGAUACUGCCCAAGAGUCCAUAUCGACGGCAGUGUUUGGCACCUCGAUGUCGGCUCAUCUCAUCCUGGGGCUGGAGCAGGUCCCAAGGGUAUGGCUGUUCGCCAUUUAAAGAGGUACGUGAGCUGGGUUUAGAACGUCGUGAGACAGUUCGGUCCCUAUCUUCCGUGGGUGCAGGAGACUUGAGAGGACUUGCCCCUAGUACGAGAGGACCGGGGUGAACGUUCCACUGGUGGACCGGUUGUCGCGCCAGCGGCAGUGCCGGGUAGCCAUGAACGGACAGGAUAACCGCUGAAAGCAUCUAAGCGGGAAGCCCCCCUCAAAACCAGGUCUCCCCAUAAGGACCGUGGUAGACCACCACGUCGAUAGGCCGGACGUGCAAGCGCGGUAACGCGCUCAGCGAACCGGUACUAAUCGUCCAACAGGCUUGACCCG